rnacentral:tRNA from 1 species
GCCUGGCUGGCUCAGUCAGUAGAGCAUGCGACUCUUGAUCUCGGUGUUAUGAGUUCGAACCCCACGUUGGGUG